CGCGUAGGAAUCUACCUUUCGGCGGGGGAUAGCCCGGAGAAAUCCGGAUUAAUACCGCAUACGCCCUACGGGGAACGAGGCCUCUCCUUGGAAGCUUUGACCGAAAGAUGAGCCUGCGUUAGAUUAGCUAGUUGGUAGGGUAAAGGCCUACCAAGGCGACGAUCUAUAGCUGGUCUGAGAGGAUGAUCAGCCACACUGGAACUGAGACACGGUCCAGACUCCUACGGGAGGCAGCAGUGGGGAAUAUUGGACAAUGGGCGCAAGCCUGAUCCAGCAAUACCGCGUGUGUGAAGAAGGGUU
rnacentral:rRNA from 1 species